rnacentral:rRNA from 1 species
CCAGACUCCUACGGGAGGCAGCAGUGGGGAAUAUUGCACAAUGGGCGAAAGCCUGAUGCAGCAACGCCGCGUGAAGGAAGAAGGGUUUCGGCUCGUAAACUUCUAUUAACAGGGACGAAGCAAGUGACGGUACCUGACGAAUAAGCCACGGCUAACUACGUGCCAGCAGCCGCGGUAAUACGUAGGUGGCAAGCGUUAUCCGGAUUUAUUGGGUGUAAAGGGCGUGUAGGCGGGAAUGCAAGUCAGAUGUGAAAACUAUGGGCUCAACCCAUAGCCUGCAUUUGAAACUGUAUUUCUUGAGUGCUGGAGAGGCAAUCGGAAUUCCGUGUGUAGCGGUGAAAUGCGUAGAUAUACGGAGGAACACCAGUGGCGAAGGCGGAUUGCUGGACAGUAACUGACGCUGAGGCGCGAAAGCGUGGGGAGCAAACAGGAUUAGAUACCCUCGUAA